rnacentral:rRNA from 1 species
GACGAACGCUGGCGGCGUGCUUAACACAUGCAAGUCGAACGGAAAGGCUUCUUUCGGGGGGUACUCGAGUGGCGAACGGGUGAGUAACACGUGAGUAACCUGCCCUUGACUUUGGGAUAACUUCAGGAAACUGGGGCUAAUACCGGAUAGGAGCUCCUGCUGCAUGGUGGGGGUUGGAAAGUUUCGGCGGUUGGGGAUGGACUCGCGGCUUAUCAGCUUGUUGGUGGGGUAGUGGCUUACCAAGGCUUUGACGGGUAGCCGGCCUGAGAGGGUGACCGGCCACAUUGGGACUGAGAUACGGCCCAGCCUCCUACGGGAGGCAGCAGUGGGGAAUAUUGCACAAUGGGUGGAAGCCUGAUGCAGCAACGCCGUGUGCGGGAUGACGGCCUUCGGGUUGUAAACCGCUUUCGCUCAUGACGAAGCUUUGUGUGACGGUAGUGGGUAAAGAAGCACCGGCUAACUACGUG